UACGGGGGGGGGCAAGCGUUGUUCGGAAUUACUGGGCGUAAAGGGCUCGUAGGUGGCCAACUAAGUCGGACGUGAAAUCCCUCGGCUUAACCGGGGAACUGCAUCCGAUACUGGAUGGCUUGAGUUCGGGAGAGGGAUGCGGAAUUCCAGGUGUAGCGGUGAAAUGCGUAGAUAUCUGGAGGAACACCGGUGGCGAAGGCGGCAUCCUGGACCGGCAUUGACGCUGAGGAGCGAAAGCCAGGGGAGCAAACGGG
rnacentral:rRNA from 1 species